rnacentral:ncRNA from 1 species
AGGUUAAAACUCAAAUGAAUUGACGGGGGCCCGCACAAGCGGUGGAGCAUGUGGUUUAAUUCGACGCAACGCGAAGAACCUUACCAGGUCUUGACAUCCUGCGAACUUUCUAGAGAUAGAUUGGUGCCUUCGGGAACGCAGUGACAGGUGCUGCAUGGCUGUCGUCAGCUCGGGUCGUGAGAUGUUGGGUUAAGUCCCGUAACGAGCGCAACCCUUGUCCUUAGUUGCCAGCACGUAAUGGUGGGAAACUCUAAGGAGACUGCCGGUGACAAACCGGAGGAAGGUGGGGACGACGUCAAGUCAUCAUGGCCCUUACGACCUGGGCUACACACGUGCUACAAUGGGUCGUACAAAGAGUUGCGAAGCCGCGAGGUGAAGCUAAUCUCAUAAAACGUCUCGUAGUCCGGAUUGGAGUCUGCAACUCGACUCCAUGAAGUCGGAAUCGCUAGUAAUCGUGAAUCAGAAUGUCACGGUGAAUACGUUCCCGGGCCUUGUACACACCGCCCGUCACACCAUGGGAGUGGGUUGCAAAAGAAGUGGCUAGUCU